GUAGUCGAUGGACAACCGGUUGAUAUUCCGGUACCCGCUUUGAAGCGCCAGCGCUGAACCUUCUGAUGCUAAGUCCGUGAAGCCGCCGGCUGAGUCUUCGGACGAGGUCGGAGUGGUGGAGCCGACGGCCCGAGGGGGUAGUAGGUGAGUGAUGGGGUGACGCAGGAAGGUAGUCCAGCCCGGGCGGUGGUUGUCCCGGGGUAAGGGUGUAG
rnacentral:rRNA from 1 species